AGCAGCCGCGGUAAUUCCAGCUCCAAUAGCGUAUAUUAAAGUUGUUGCAGUUAAAAAGCUCGUAGUUGAAUUUCGGGAUUUGUCAGUUGGUCGGGCUUCACUGUCCGUAUUGACUUGAUGGAUUCUUACCUUCUGAAUAACCAGCAUGCUAUUAAGUUAGUGCGUUGGGGAAGCAGAUCUAUUACCUUGAAAAAAUUAGAGUGCUUAAAGCGAGCUAGUGCUUGAAUAGAUUAGCAUGGAAUAAUAAAAUAGGACGGCAUGGUUCUAUUUUGUUGGUUUCUAGGAUCACCGUAAUGAUUAAUAGGGAUAGUUGGGGGCAUUAGUAUUCAAUUGUCAGAGGUGAAAUUCUUGGAUUUAUUGAAGACUAACUUCUGCGAAAGCAUUUGCCAAGGAUGUUUUCAUUAAUCAAGAACGAAAGUUAGGGGAUCGAAGACGAUCAGAUACCGUCGUAGUCUUAACCAUAAACUAUGCCGACUAGGAAUCGGACGAUGUUAAUUUAUAAUGA
rnacentral:rRNA from 1 species